rnacentral:lncRNA from 1 species
UUUUUUCUUUUUUUCUUUUUUUUUGAGAAUAUUUGGCCUCCUUGGUUGAUAAAAGGGUUUUAUGAUAUAGCAGUUCUUUUGGAUGGAUGCAUCUCAGAGCAUUUCGAGUUGCUUAACAAUUAACAAUGACUUAUUUGAAGCUUCUCACUCCUAUUGAACAUCCAUUGCUAUUUUGCAUUUAUUUCCUGUAGAUUUGAAACAAAGACUACAAUGUUAAAUAUGUCACAGAUUAGAUUACUUGGAAAGAGCAGUUGAAUUUCCACCAUCAUAUAAUUUCUUCUUCAUAUGUGCAAUGACAAAAGAAGAGGAAUUGCAAACCUGGCACUUUAAGGCAUUUAAAAUUAUAAAAUUAUUUAAAAAUAAGACAACCUGUAUUUAAAUAAUAGUGCUAUCAGCAGAUAUAUGGUAUUAAUAAAAUACCUGUAUAUUUGUCCUUGUUCUCAAUCUUAAAACAGAUUAUUUUAAAUCCAGAAAUAAUAGCUUCAACCAUAAACGUGAACAUAUAGCUAUUUCUAAAUUUUAUGUUAGAAUAUAUACCGGUCAUAACGUAGUUAAAUUAGCCAUUUUAUUGACUGUCUAAUUGCCUACGACAUUUCCAGAACUAGAAUCUUUGAUAGGCUUGUUCUUUUGGAAGGUGGCCAAGGAAUGUGCUUAUUUGAGUUUUGUUUUUAUGAACCAUAAUAGAAGGCAAUAAAAACUCAUGCUAAGUAUGCGAGAAAUUUAGUGUGGCAUCCAGAGCUCAGAACUAGAGUUUGGAAUCAUUUACUGUAAAAGCAUGUAAAACACAUCUAGCUUCCAUAUGCAACUCCAGGGAGGGGCUGGAGGAUCAAUUUUCUUUCUAAAAAUACCACAUAUGCAAGAUUCCAUCCCCAGAGUUAAAUCACAAAACACACGGAAGCAUUACAUAAACUGAUUAAACAAAGGCAUUUGAAAUCUAUCCACUCAGGAUUUUUUUUUUUUUCAUAUGAAUAUAUGUUUUACUGCAGGAAGAUUCUGUUUGGCUUAUUUACAAAUCUGUAUUUAAUGUAAGGUCUCGUUCUUUCCUUGUGAUUUAUAUUCUUUCCUUCUUCGUAAAUAUGCCAAAGUAUCUUUCAGACUAGAUUGUACCCUUUCUUCUAGUGCUUGGUGUGCAAAUUCUUCUGUUUGUUUUGUCUGCUAAUACUUUCUCCAAUGAUUGGAAGAUUCAAGAAGAAUAUGGUUUCCAGCUAUGAAUUCAUUCCAGCGGGGGUUGAUUUGGGGGCUCAUGCUGUGCACUCAGGAUGGAGAUACCACAGCCCAGUUUCACAUUUGCUUCCACUUAGGCCAGCUGGGGUCUAUCAUGUCUAGAGGAGUUUUAAUGGAAAUAUCUUAGUUGAGGACCAUUUGAGCCAAGCAGAGAGAACGAAGUUUGACUCUACAGCUACCUACAGGCUGAUUCCUACGGUGACUUCUUUUCCACCCAGCUUCCUGGAAGUUUCCUGCACAGGAUCAGUGGCUCUAGUUUUGCCAUUUCAUGGAAAGAUCAGCACCUUAUGAUGCCUGGUCAUGGGCAGGAAGUGUACUGGGAGGUGUUUUGGCUGUGACAUGCUGCGUUCCUUUGUGUUUCUCAGGAUCCCAGCACCCUGCUCUUAAGCAUAAUAUCUGGUUUUGACCUAUCCAUUAGCUGGGAGGACCUUAUCUCCUAGCAUCCAAAUUAGGGCACUUUGCAUGUUGGAAGGGGACAUUGUUUGCUUUACUCUGAAGCAGCAGGUACAGAGCAAGCCAGUCCUUAGCAAACCAAUCCUACAGUCGGUGUGCGCUAUUUUGGCUUCUGCCCCUGCUCACUACUCAUUGCCCCAUGCUUUCCAUGUCUUUAUUUCUACAGUGCAGAGAUUUUCCUGUGCAUUUCUAGCUUGACAAGUACAUCUGAAACUUCCACUGUUAUAGUUGAUCCGCGUGCUUGUAUUGCGGGGGGGAGGGGGUGGGGAGUCCUUCCGACAUCGACUUGUUCUGAAAUACGUUGACCUAAAAUGUCUUAAUUUCUUUAAUAUAUGCAAGUCUUCCUGCUGCUUGUGAGAGCCCGUUGAGUUGAUUAGCUAGUUCCCUUUUGUCAUAGUCACGUUUACUUGACUCCUGGAUACAAAGAUGGUAAAUAAUUUCCUCCUUUUUCUCCCUUGAAAGAGCUGACUGGAUCUUGUCUAAUAUUCUAUGGUUUCUGGAGGUUUCAUUAUUCUUAGGGUAAAAUCAACUAGUCCUUUCCCUUCCCUCAAAAGAAUCAAACUAGUUCUUUGAACUUGAAUUUACUACUGAUAUGCACAAUGCUUAAUAACACUUUACUGUUAUUUGGCAUCUGAUUUUAGCCAGGAAAACUACUUUGGCGGUUGACUUCACACCUAAUUGCUCAUUACUCAGAGUCGGGAUUCCAUUCUAUGGGACUGGGCCCAGCCAAAGCCAAGAAAGUUCUGACUAGACUCAAGUACAGGGAAACUAACAGAAAGGAAGCUGACAUAUGUGAACAAAGGAGGUCUGUUUUUAAAUCUGAAUUAAGUCAGAAUGGGCAGGAGGGUCUUAGCCUGCAAUAGGAAUCUAGUGACCAGAACUGGGUCACAAGGUGGGCGAGCUGAACACUUGAGGCAGAACCCGCAUGUGUGCUGAGUUUAGACCUUCAUGGCACAAGCACAAAUUAAAUGAGGCCACGUGGGUCAUAAGCUCUUAGAGAAGAGCUAUUGGAGCGCAUUCGUGUCACACGGCCUCCUUGUCCCCUAUUGGUGGUUCAUCCCUUCCGACAUACAUCCCUUCCUUCCAACACGAUCAUCUGCUACCCUUUGAAGACUCUACAGGCCCAGGCAGACUCUUGAGACUGGCAGAGACAAGCCUGUUGCCAAGGCAGCCAUUGGCCAUUGGCCUCCACUAACAACAACUUGGCUUCAUUACAACGGCUGACCGCCUUCUCUAGCACUCCGACUUCUUCCAUUCCAGCUUUUCCCUACUGACCAUAGUCUGCCUUUUCUUCCUGCUUUAUAUCUU